rnacentral:snRNA from 1 species
UAUCUCUGGCUCCUUUGCAUUUAACCGAGAAAUCUUUCGCCUUUACUUAAAGAUUUCCGUGCAAAGGUGCAUUUAAUG